ACAAUGGAGAGUUUGAUCCUGGCUCAGGAUGAACGCUAGCGGCAGGCUUAACACAUGCAAGUCGAGGGGCAGCACGAGGUAGCAAUACUUUGGUGGCGACCGGCGCACGGGUGCGUAACGCGUAUGCAACCUACCUUUAACAGGGGCAUAACACUGAGAAAUUGGUACUAAUUCCCCAUAACAUUCGAGAAGGCAUCUUCUUGGGUUAAAAACUCCGGUGG
rnacentral:rRNA from 1 species